AAGGAGAAGUCGUAACAAGGUUUCCGUACGUGAACAUGCGGAAUGACAAGCUGGGCUCGGGGGGCACCCCCCGCACUUGGUGGGCUAACGAAACCCGGCGCAGCAAGCGCCAAGGAAAACAAAAUGGAAGCGUUACUCCUCUUAACUCCCGUUCGCGGUGUGGUUUUGGGGAUGUGAUGUAUCUUGAAAGUCUAAACGACUCUCGGCAACGGAUAUCUCGGCUCUCGCAUCGAUGAAGAACGUAGCGAAAUGCGAUACUUGGUGUGAAUUGCAGAAUCCCGUGAACCAUCGAGUCUUUGAACGCAAGUUGCGCCCGACGCCUUCGGGCUGAGGGCACGCCUGCCUGGGCGUCACGCAUCGCGUCGCCCCCACACCAAUUUUGGUGCGGGGCGGAUAAUGGCAUCCCGUUAGCUCGGUUUGCCCAAAACUGAUCCCUCAUCGACGGAUGUCACAACCAGUGGUGGUUGAAAGAUCAUUGGUGUCGUUGUGCUUCACUCUGUCGCAUGCUUGGGCAUCGUAAUAAAACAAUGGUGCUAACGCGCCUUCGACCGCGACCCCAGGUCAGACGGGACUACCCGCUGAG
rnacentral:rRNA from 1 species